CGAACUGGAGACGAGGCUGCUUUCUGAGAAGGAAAUCAAGAAAACAGAAACACCACCACACACUUUGGUGGAUGAGCGCGGCCACCUCAAUCAGUAACCUUCCUUCGGCCACGGUCUGUCAAGAGGCGGCCAAGGGCAGCAAGUCAGGACAAGCCCCAGAAAGAGGAAGCAUCCUGUGCAUUUUAUUUAAGUGAACUGACAGAAGACGCAAUCUCUCAACCAUCUAUGGAAAGAUGUAGCUCAUAGAGUCACAGCAUCUUUGAGCUAGAAGAUAACUCCUGUUCUACAUAUGAGGCUAUUUCCUUUCUGCAUCGGAUGAGAUGAAAAACGAGAAGAGGCAUCAGAGAUUUGAGAAACAAGGAGAAGGCCCCAUUAGAUGAGGGAUAGUGGCCCAUGAAACAUGUA